rnacentral:rRNA from 1 species
GACGAACGCUGGCGGCGUGCUUAACACAUGCAAGUCGAACGGUAAGGCCCUUCGGGGUACACGAGUGGCGAACGGGUGAGUAAAACGUGGGUGAUCUGCCCUGCACUUCGGGAUAAGCCUGGGAAAAUGGGUCUAAUACCGGAUAGGACUCCUGGCUUCAUGGUUGGGGGUGGAAAGCUUUUGCGGUGUGGGAUGGGCCCGCGGCCUAUCAGCUUGUUGGUGGGGUAAUGGCCUACCAAGGCGACGACGGGUAGCCGGCCUGAGAGGGUGACCGGUCACACUGGGACUGAGAUACGGCCCAGACUCCUACGGGAGGCAGCAGUGGGGAAUAUUGCACAAUGGGCGCAAGCCUGAUGCGGCGACGCCGCGUGAGGGAUGACGGCCUUCGGGUUGUAAACCUCUUUCAGCUAUGACGAAGCGCAAGUGACGGUAGUAGCAGAAGAAGGACCGGCCAACUACGUGCCAGCAGCCGCAGUAAUAC